rnacentral:rRNA from 1 species
UACGUAGGGGGCAAGCGUUGUCCGGAUUUAUUGGGCGUAAAGAGCGUGUAGGCGGCCCGACAGGUCCGUUGUGAAAACUCGAGGCUCAACCUCGAGAUGUCGGCGGAAACUGUCUGGCUAGAGUCCGGAAGAGGAGAGUGGAAUUCCUGGUGUAGCGGUGAAAUGCGCAGAUAUCAGGAAGAACACCUAUGGCGAAGGCAGCUCUCUGGGACGGUACUGACGCUGAGACGCGAAAGCGUGGGGAGCGAACAGG